AAAAGAUGUUUUUAUUUGUAUGCACCACAUAAGUUUUGUAUGAAUAAAAUGGGAUUUGUAGAUGUAAAAAUUAAACAAUCCAAAUUAAAUCUCUUCAAGGGGGCCCUUUAUGGUACUAGAAAAGUCACAGAAUCAGCUGUGUUCGCACCUUAUAUAUGUACAAUGCUAUGAAUGUAUUUACUAUAGAGGCGAGACAGACGGAACAGUUCAUUUUGGAUUGAGUUUUUGGCAAAGAUUAACGGCCGAUAUCCUUCUUUCCUCCUUGGGCUACAAUCAAUGUGAAGGGUAAAAUGGGUUUUUUUUCGUCUGAAACACGAACGGC
rnacentral:lncRNA from 1 species